GUUCAGGAUCUGCAACGCAUGUCCCAGAGCCCUUGAACAUGGCCAGCAUGAUGCUGUAUAAUCAAAAUAUACACAAAUGGCUCUACAUAACCAGCUUGAUACCCCUGAUCUUAAGCAUUGAAAAGCUCAGCCUACCCCACAGACCCAAACACUUCCAACCAAUUUCAGAUGAAGAUCCUUGCAGCUGAUUCCAGUGACUCCAAGAGACAGACAUGAAAAUACAGACCCAAACAAUGGCAAAAUUUUGGAAAACCUGAUAUGUUUUAAUGGUUUAUACUGCCUAUCUUUCACUCAUGGGUGCAAUGCCAGUUGGGAGACUGAAAAAUGUUCAUCCUUUUGAAAAAUUUGUGAGCUUUUAAGAAAUAUUUCAAAAAGAUUCACUUAUCUUCUAGUGAAUGCAGCUAAGCUUUUGAUAACGAUGUUUAAGAUUCUUCUCCUUACCUGAAGUUCUGACAUAAUGCUGCCUUAAUGUAUAUUCUUUCACAAAAAGUGAAUGAUUUGUUACUUCUUAGAUACUAAGAUAAUUAUUUGUAAAGUAAUAUAAACCUUGUGUAGUUCUAUUUUCUGUAAGAUCAGUUAUUAUAUUAGUAGUUUAAAGUAUUCAUUAGCAAACAAAAAUGGAAAAGAAUGUGCUUUAUCCAACAUUUAAAAUUAUUCUCCUGCUCUCACAAGCUGCUCAUAAACUUAUUUUAAUUGACUAGAUCACCAAACAAGGAUGAACUUUAAAAUACCUGAUGAAAGAAAAGUGCAUGUUUGCUUUCUUUCUAUGAAGAAGACAUGCAUACAAAAUAACUAUCUGGCAAGAGUUAUGUUUCUAGUUUAACAACUGUUUAAUACUUGGAAAAAUAUGACAUUUCCAUAUUCUAACUCUCACUGCUCAGUGAAAAAUGUCUUGGAACAGAUGUUAAUAAAUACCUCAGCAGUCACUUUUAAAAAGGCACAGAGCCAACUCUGCUAUUUCUAUGACGUAAUAGGAAAGAUUAUAGUUUUAGAGUUGGGUUGUUAUAUAAUUAAAAGCCUUAAUAAUUAACAGACUUUGGGACAACCCAGAACAAGCAUUCUGCAAUUUCAGAGCACCUUCCACCCCAAAACUCAGAAUGAUUUACAAAUGCAAAACUUCACUAGGAUCCCAGGGGGCAGGUAAAUGUCCCAGGUGCGUGCUUGAGGAAGUGCACUGUGACUGCACUGGGGAAAUGCAUUACUCAAAGACAAGCCACAAGGUAGGGACAUUCCCCAGCAAGGUUAAGGGUCUGGAUGCAGGCCAGAUCAGUGCUUUCUGGCUUGCUUCCAUAGAACGAAUAUCUUCUGGCUUCCAAAGUGGUGAAGCCACCAUUCUCUUCCUGCAGACCAUUUGUUCACUAUUAUAAAUGUCACAAACUUUUGCUGUUAAAAGUGGUUGUGGGGUAUCUGGCUGAGGUUUUGCUGUGGUAGAUGCUGAGACCAAGGGAAUCUUUCUGACUGAAUCCAAUAGACUCUGUGCAGGAAAUUAAGCUGACACAUCAUGUCAGCUAGGGCUGUGACAGAGCAGUACCAUCACAGGUAACUUUUCUAAAUAUUUCAGACGGAAACCUACAGGUGGAGGGAAGGA